UACAGAGGUCUCAAGCGUUGUUCGGAUUCAUUGGGCGUAAAGGGUGUGUAGGUGGCGCCGUAAGUCGGGUGUGAAAUUUCGGAGCUUAACUCCGAAACUGCAUUCGAUACUGCGGUGCUUGAGGACUGGAGAGGAGACUGGAAUUUACGGUGUAGCGGUGAAAUGCGUAGAUAUCGUAAGGAAGACCAGUGGCGAAGGCGGUCUCUGGACAGUUCCUGACGCUGAGGCACGAAGGCCAGGGAGCAAACGGG
rnacentral:rRNA from 1 species